AUCGCAGACUUCAACGAUCAAGAACCAAGCAAGGCCCCUCUCAAUACCGCUUACUCCCCGGAAAUCCACACAAAUUCGCCAAAAUGGAAAACGAACAGGGGAAAAUCGUUGACCUUUACGUGCCUCGCAAAUGCAGCGCCACAAACCGCAUCAUCAAGGCUAAGGAUCAUGCCUCCGUCCAAAUUAGCAUUGCCAAAGUUGACGAGAACGGCCGAUACACCGGCGAGAAUCAAGUAUAUGCUCUCUGCGGAUUCGUACGGGCCCGGGGUGAGAGUGAUGACAGCUUGAACCGUCUGGCGCAACGGGAUGGGUUCUUGAAAAAUGUAUGGAGCGCGAGCUCCCAGCGUUGAGGGAAAAUGGAGGAUAAAUUUGGCUUUCCCUUUUAUGCUCUUUUUCCUUUUCGUUUUUUUCUUAGGCUGGUUUAAGGGACCCCUUGUGGAUGGGAAUGUUGUGAUGAUAACCAUUAAAUGAGCGAAAUAAAGAAAAUUCCUGGGAAUAUUCUGGAGUUCUUUUUUUUUCGAGGCUCUUAAAUAAAGACCUAUUUCUUAUUAUCGUUCUUAAAAAUGCCUACCAAUCCUCUUGUCUACCAACAGUGAAGUGACUCGCUCGGUUCAGACCCACGUACUUUAACGGAGAAAUAUACGAAAUCAAAAUCAUGCAUUUUCUGAACCAUAAAGCCCAAAAUAGAGGAAAUUGGGAAGUCCAAUAUUCUCGAACCUUAUCGUCCGCCUACGAGAAAUCAAUUUCAAUACACACAUUUUUCCGAGACCCAAAAUUUUCCUAGGAAUCUAUCCAACUCACUUUCUUUCUCACCAGGUUUUCUUUUCUUUCUAUCUUUCCUUUAACCGUUUCCCCUUUAAACUCCCUAAACCCUGGCAGCAAAACCACACCUCAGGCCCACCGCAAAAAUCCACAACUCCAUAGUGGAACGGGCGAUUUUCGCGGUCAAUGACUGAGGCGGGUUGCGAUGAAAAAGUCAAAAAAAAUCAAAUCAUAGCUGGGGGAGAUCAUUGAUUUCUUUCCGAAAUACCCGUCUGCUGAAGAGCUGUGAUACGCAAGGUCACUGGUCAGAGCACAGAUACGGGCGGGACAUGUCAUGUUUUCGCAUCGCCUAUUGCCCUUGAAGAUAGCAUAAAAACUGUGAUGUUUGUCGGUAAAAAUCGAGUCGGUAACCAUAAGUUAUGCCCUCCAUCCUCUUUCCUACAUAAGGUAGGUUUCCUGCUACCUACGUAUUUAGUUACUCCAUGCAUUUUUGUUCAAAUAUACUUUCAAAAAUGAAGUUGUCGGGAGGGAAUAUGAUAUGAAGAAUAUUAUGCGGGAUUUGAUUUUAUGAUUUUUAUUCGUUUCCAUAUCAUCCCUCCGCCAUGGGACAGGGAGCAAUCAGAAAAUCACCCAUCAACACUCAUGGAGAACUGGGCUCGUAUCCUCUAAUGAUUCGUAAAAUUUCCGCGAAAGCAACACAUAUUCUCAGAAUUUCUCCUCUCUCCCCCUCCUUUUUUCUUUCUCCUCUUCGAAUGUGUCGCCAAAACACAAAACCCUACUGUUAUAGUGCAUACUAAUCCUUUUCGAGCCGGACUGCCGGGUUCGUUUCGAUGAAGUUGAGAUCUACUUUGUGCCCAAGCAAUUCACGAAUGUUGCUUACGCCAUAUUUGAUCAUAGUAGGUCGUUCCAAGCUCAAUCCCCAUCCAUACACUCUCAUAUCUUGUGGCAGACCCAUUGACUCCAACAUUUCCGGUCUAAACAUCCCGCUGUUGCCGAUCUCUACCCACUUUCCUAAGCCAUCAUGGUAGCCAAAAAUCUCCAUACUCGGCUCUGUGUAAGGAUUAUAUGCCGGCUUGAAUCUAAGCCCGUGAAUUCCCAUCUUGGCAAAGAAGACUUCCAUGAAGCCAAUCAAGCCACCCAGCGUGAGACCAAAAUCAGCGAUCACACCCUCAACCUGGUGGAACUCUGCUAGAUGUGUAGCAUCAACUGCCUCGUUUCGGAACACCCGGUCAAUACUGAAAUACCUGGCCGGUCUAGGGUUUGCAGCUAGUUUGUGCAGCAUAUAAGUGGAAACAGAGGUGGUGUGGGUUCGAAGGACGAGGCGGAGCGAUUCUUCGGGAUCCCAUGGAUACCGGUAGCCAAUUGACCCGAAUUUACCAGAUUCAUGUACAGCGCGUACAUUGUUCCAGUAUUGCUCAAAGUCGAGAGGCUUGGUUUUGCCGGUGUUCGAAGAUCCCCCCGUUGCUUUUCCAGCAUUUGCGACGUGAAUGUCAGAGAGAUCAUCUUCACGUGGCUUAUCUGCCCUGGCGGGGUCUGAGAUAUAAAAGGUAUCUUGAAGGUCACGGGCAGGGUGUUGUUGAGGGACAUAGAGAGCGUCGAAAUUCCAGAAGCCGGUCUCGACAUAACGAUUCGUUGGCAUCUCCUCGAAACCCAUCUCGAAGAAAAUAUGUCUAAAUUCCUGGCGCACUUUGUUCAGUGGAUGCAGAGCACCGCUGGGUGUUAACGCGCCCUUAGCAUUGAAAUUGUAAGGCUUAAAUUUUGCCGUUUUCCACGAUCCAUUCGAAAGCAUAUCAACUGUAAGAUCGGUUUCCUCCUUGACAAGCUCUCUCGCAUAUUUGGGCCCUUUUGAUAUUCUGAAACUUAAAACCUUCUGCAUUGUGAGAAGUUUCCGCUUUCGCAAGUCCGCUAAGACUUUAGGAUCGGGGUACGUUUUUGUCUUCUGUAUAACCACAAGUUGCUCCCGAGUGGUGUCUUCGAUUGAGUCUGUGGCCGACCUCAAAAGGUCCUUAUCUUUCUUAAUCCAUCCCUUCUUAAAUGCAUUUCCAGCCCCAACUUUCGCGGCCUCCUUGCCAACUACAUCUGGUAGAUCCGCUAUUUUCAGUCCAUUGAGUGCUGCUCUCACAGCUUCAAACACCUUGGCUUCAUGGCUGCCAUUGGCUGCUAUUCCUUCAGCUUCUGGCAAUAAUAUUGCUUCAUCCUGUUCAAUCGUUUCAUAUAUGAUCAUGUCUCUGGAUCUAAGACGAUCCAGAGCGCUUUUUAAAGCAAUUGUGGGCACGGUGGGGAAGUUAUUGGUAGAGAGAAUUGGGUCGUCGGUGGAGGAGAGGAGAUCUAAUACUUGCGCAGGGAGGUCGGUCGCCAU
rnacentral:sRNA from 1 species